GCUGGGAUGUGUCAGGUAGGCAGUGUAUUGUUAGCGGCUGUUAAUAAUUUUAACAGUUGCUGGUUGCACUCCCUUCUGUUGCAUUCAGAAGC
ensembl:miRNA